rnacentral:rRNA from 1 species
UCAUUAUGAGUCAUUAAUUUGGUGAUUAUGAUAACAUAAGGGAAAAAAAAUGAUAUUACCUUAUUAUUAGUGUUGUCCAAAACUGGUGCCAGAAGACUCGGUAAGACCAGAGACGCAAACGUUAGUCAUCUUAAUCAGGCGUAAAGGGUGUGUAGGCUGCUUUAAAAGUUUAAAUCUUUUUAAUAGCUCUUUUGCCGUUGUCCUGCCAUUAUUUAUUUUAUUUAUAAAAUAAUAAACAAUAAUGAAUAUAAAGGCAGUACAUUUUUAAUUUUAUUAAUAUUAAUUUAAUUUAAUAAUUAUAAAGGGGACAAAAAAGAUAUCCCGGUUUAAGUAAAAAGAAUAAAAUGAAUUAAAGCUAGAAUCAAAUUGAGGAUAAACCAAAUAAUACUUAGAGUAGGGCCGAUAUCCGCAGAUACUAAGGGGAAUACUAAAGGUGAAAGCUUUUUAUCUACUAUUGAUUGACGCUGAGAAACGAAGGUGAGAACAGGAAAUAGGAUUUGAUACCCAGAUACCUCUCACUGUCAACGAUGAAUGGUGGUUGUUAGUUUUAAUAAAAACUGGUAACGAUGUUAACACGAUAACCAUUCCGCCUUGCGAGUACGGUUGCAAAACUGAAACCAAAAAAAUUAGUCGGUUUCGAAGCAAACGAAGUGAAGCAUG